GUUAAUCCAUCUUCCUCACCACCACCAUCAACACCACUACCAUCUACUUAAUGAAUGGGUUACGAAUCGAAUAUGGUUUUUGUUCUAAGAUACCCGGAGUGACGAGGUAAAAUGGUUGAUUUGAAAUUUUGAAUAAUCGGUGGAAAUGGGGUUUUUAUAAGAUGUAUCACAGAAUGGAUGUUCCAACAAAUCUGUUGUUCGUCUGUCCUCCUGUGAAAUUGCAUCACAAACUGAAAAGCUAAAGGAGCCAGCAUUAGGUUAAAGUGUCAAAUAUGGUUUACGGAAGCGGGAGCAGAAAGUUUGUAUAUGUGCAACGGGUUAAGCCAAGUAACAAUAACGAGUUCUUUAAUUUCGAGGAUUACUGUGAAGCUGCGGUUUAUGAUUGGUGACUGCUGAUAGGGGCCAGGCUUCCUUUGUUCAUGAUUGGUGACUGCUGAUAGAGGCCAGGCUUCCUUUCUUCGACAACCUUUGGGACAUUUUUAACACAAACAAUGUCAUCAGUAUCAUUUACAACAGGGUGAACAGUCUCAUUUGCAUGACCAGAUGAUUCAGCCUCACGUGAUCAACUUGCUAGCGAAUUCCAAAAUUACUAUGUGUAGAAAAUGGAAACUUAAGUACAGAAGUAUGAGAGAGCAGCAUUUCUGUCGUCAAAAGCAUUUGUAAGUAAAGAAUUCACUCUUUUUGUGGAAAAAAUUAGUUGUGUUAGUGUUGUGCACCUGGUAAGUACUAUGCCAAUGUCCUGCAACCACCAAAUGAUUAAGUUAUUUGAGCUUUGGGUUUCAAGUGUUUGUUUUUUGGCAUCUAGGUUUAGAAACAUGUCCUUUAGGUGCCCUUGGGGCGAGAUUAGCCUAGUUUUAAUUUUGACUACCGAAACUAAUAUUUUUAAGUGUGAAGGAAACCCUGAACUCGAAAGUUGAUACUUUUGUGUAUAUGCAAACAUUUAUGAUGUGGUGUUCUAGUAAUGGAUGAUUAAGAGCUUCAGUUAGAGAACUGUCCAAAUUGUUGCAACCAAGAUGUACUCUAUUUAGGAGGGCAUUAUCAAACUAGCGUAGUUUUACUUGAUACAUCAGGUUUGAGUACGUACUAGUGUAACUAUCUUGAAUUUAUUGUCUACCUCGUGCACUAGGAACUUCUUGAUAAGCUGGAACAUAGAGAAGAGGGAUGUAUUUUUUCCAGCUACAUACAAUUGGAUUAGAAGAUAUCGAUGAAACAGAUACUUCUCGUGGUUUUCUCAUUUUACUUGCUUUUUGUUAUCUUUAUCCUGCUAAAUUGCUAAUAUAUGUUCACCUCGACAAUCUCACUGCAACAUGUUUACUGCUACAAUUAUUAGUUUUCUCUCGUGCUGGAUUACGAGAUAAUAACAUUACAUUUAUUCGAUGCUGAGAUUUAUUAGCUUCUCUUUACUAUACAUUCAGAAGGCUUCUGAUUAUGGCCGGUUUGCCCUUACAGAAGUAAACAAAGUUCUGUUGUUGUAUGAAGGAAACAUCCUUCGUCAUUAUGCCCCUUAAACUGCAACCUUAGAAAAAGUUGGGAAUGAUCAUGCUGUGAGCUUCCAAGACUUUUUUCCAGCAAAUUCUAUGCAUGACCAUGUUUCGUUGAAGAAUUCAGGUGACGACUGCUGGAAGUGGAUCCAAUGAGUUAGAGAGUAAUCUUAGACUGAUGAAUAUUAUACCAUGUCAAUGAACUAGUUUUUUACUUUGCCGGUUUGCGUGAAUGAUGAAAUAAUGGAUCACUGCUAGCAUAUACUUUGUUGUUUUGAGCACAUGAGAUUAUGAUGAGAUUGAAGUUCAAGGAUUUUAUGCAUGUAAAUUAAUUUCUUAUGGUUUAUGUUUCUGUUAUAAGUUCCAUUUCUGUUAGGAAGCAAACUGGUGUGAAGAGCUAUCUCGUGAGUCUGCAGUUUGAAACAAUGGCGGGCAGAAGAACUUAGUUGUGGUCGAGCAGGGAGGAGCAACAAAGCUCAGUUAGGGACAUUAUGGAGCAUAUCAAGUGGAUACGGACUCGAGCCAAGCUUUUAUCCGCCAUAAAUUAGAAAAAAGGGAAUAAAAUGAGAUUGCUGGGAAUUCUCUUUUGAUUUUUGUGUAUGAUUUUUGGUUUAGCUGAACCAAAUACCGGGGAAUAUGGUUGGUUCAAAUGGGCCAUGAACUAUUUCCUUGAAGAUUUUAGUUGCUUAAGACGAUUCAAACAAGAAGAGAACAUGAUUAAACCGGAAAAAAUAAAGUGAAAAUAUUAUUAACCAU